CAGGCUUAACACAUGCAAGUCGAGGGGCAGCAUGGUCUUAGCUUGCUAAGGCCGAUGGCGACCGGCGCACGGGUGAGUAACACGUAUCCAACCUGCCGUCUACUCUUGGACAGCCUUCUGAAAGGAAGAUUAAUACAAGAUGGCAUCAUGAGUCCGCAUGUUCACAUGAUUAAAGGUAUUCCGGUAGACGAUGGGGAUGCGUUCCAUUAGAUAGUAGGCGGGGUAACGGCCCACCUAGUCUUCGAUGGAUAGGGGUUCUGAGAGGAAGGUCCCCCACAUUGGAACUGAGACACGGUCCAAACUCCUACGGGAGGCAGCAGUGAGGAAUAUUGGUCAAUGGGCGAGAGCCUGAACCAGCCAAGUAGCGUGAAGGAUGACUGCCCUAUGGGUUGUAAACUUCUUUUAUAAAGGAAUAAAGUCGGGUAUGGAUACCCGUUUGCAUGUACUUUAUGAAUAAGGAUCGGCUAACUCCGUGCCAGCAGCCGCGGUAAUACGGAGGAUCCGAGCGUUAUCCGGAUUUAUUGGGUUUAAAGGGAGCGUAGAUGGAUGUUUAAGUCAGUUGUGAAAGUUUGCGGCUCAACCGUAAAAUUGCACUUGAUACUGGAUAUCUUGAGUGCAGCUGAGGCACGCGGAAUUCGUGGUGUAACGGUGAAAUGCUUAGAUAUCACGAAGAACUCCGAUUGCGAAGGCAGCCUGCUAAGCUGCAACUGACAUUGAGGCUCGAAAGUGUGGGUAUCAAACAGGAUUAGAUACCCUGGUAGUCCACACGGUAAACGAUGAAUACUCGCUGUUUGCGAUAUACUGCAAGCGGCCAAGCGAAAGCGUUAAGUAUUCCACCUGGGGAGUACGCCGGCAACGGUGAAACUCAAAGGAAUUGACGGGGGCCCGCACAAGCGGAGGAACAUGUGGUUUAAUUCGAUGAUACGCGAGGAACCUUACCCGGGCUUAAAUUGCAGAUGAAUUACGGUGAAAGCCGUAAGCCGCAAGGCAUCUGUGAAGGUGCUGCAUGGUUGUCGUCAGCUCGUGCCGUGAGGUGUCGGCUUAAGUGCCAUAACGAGCGCAACCCUUGUUGUCAGUUACUAACAGGUUCCGCUGAGGACUCUGACAAGACUGCCAUCGUAAGAUGUGAGGAAGGUGGGGAUGACGUCAAAUCAGCACGGCCCUUACGUCCGGGGCUACACACGUGUUACAAUGGGGGGUACAGAGGGCCGCUACCACGCGAGUGGAUGCCAAUCCCCAAAACCUCUCUCAGUUCGGACUGGAGUCUGCAACCCGACUCCACGAAGCUGGAUUCGCUAGUAAUCGCGCAUCAGCCACGGCGCGGUGAAUACGUUCCCGGGCCUUGUACACACCGCCCGUCAAGCCAUGGGAGCCGGGGGUACCUGAAGUGCGUAACCGCGAGGAGCGCCCUAGGGUAAAACUGGUGACUGG
rnacentral:rRNA from 1 species